UGAGGAAUAUUGGUCAAUGGACGGAAGUCUGAACCAGCCAAGUAGCGUGCAGGAAGACGGCCCUAUGGGUUGUAAACUGCUUUUGUAUGGGGAUAAAGUCAAUCACGUGUGAUUGUUUGCAGGUACCAUACGAAUAAGGACCGGCUAAUUCCGUGCCAGCAGCCGCGGUAAUACGGAAGGUUCGGGCGUUAUCCGGAUUUAUUGGGUUUAAAGGGAGCGUAGGCCGGAGAUUAAGUGUGUUGUGAAAUGUAGACGCUCAACGUCUGACUUGCAGCGCAUACUGGUUUCCUUGAGUACGCACAACGUUGGCGGAAUUCGUCGUGUAGCGGUGAAAUGCUUAGAUAUGACGAAGAACUCCGAUUGCGAAGGCAGCUGACGGGAGCGCAACUGACGCUGAAGCUCGAAGGUGCGGGUAUCGAACAGGAUUAGAUACCCUGGUAGUCCGCACAGUAAACGAUGGAUGCCCGCUGUUGGUACCUAGUAUCAGCGGCUAAGCGAAAGCAUUAAGCAUCCCACCUGGGGAGUACGCCGGCAACGGUG
rnacentral:rRNA from 1 species